GAUGAACGCUGGCGGCGUGCCUAACACAUGCAAGUCGAACGGAAAGACCCUGCUUUUGCGGGGUGCUCGAGUGGCGAACGGGUGAGUAACACGUGAGUAACCUGCCCUUGACUUUGGGAUAACUUCAGGAAACUGCGGCUAAUACCGGAUAUGAGCUCCUGCUGCAUGGUGGGGGUUGGAAAGUUUCGGCUGUUGUGGCUGUACUCGCGGCUUAUCAGCUUGUUGGUGGGGUAGUGGCUUACCAAGGCUUCGACGGGUAGCCGGCCUGAGAGACCGGUCGGCGGCCCGAGAGGUGAGCCGGGGUCCAGGGGACUAAGGGAGGCACCAGAAGGGAACGGGAGGCAGUGGGCGGAAGUAUUGCACAGUGGGCGGGAGCGUGAGGCAAAGGCGUUCGGAGCGUGAAGCCGGCUUACGGGUGGUAAACCGCUGUGGCCGGAGACGAAGAGGGAGUGACGGUAAUGGGUAAAGAAGCACCGGCUAACUACGUG
rnacentral:rRNA from 1 species